UAUUUUUCUCUCCCCCUGUGAGCUACUCAAUCUUCUCGCAGCUGAUCUUUUGGACCCAGGCCGUGAUCUGUCUUCUGGUCAUAGAUGCUGAAGUUUUUCUGGCCUUUCUGUUCUGUUUUUUCUUGUGUUUUUGUAGUUUCUGGUUUUAGUUUUCUGUUUGUGAUGUUCUUGCUUUUGGGGCCUUGCCCCUUGGAUGUACCAAAAAAAGAAAGAAAAAAAGAAGAAAGAAAGGGUAACAGAGCUUGGUUCGGCCACCUGCGUCUUGGUGGAUUUGGAUCAACCAGGGUUGAAGGGUUUGUUGUUGUUGUUGUGGUUGAUGGGGUGGGGUGACGAGGAACAAGCAUGUGUUUGCCACCAAGAACAUACCGAGCGGAUUAGAGGGUAAAAGGGUCUCAUUUGUUGUGGGGCCACACCAUCUAGCCGGCUAUCUUCUAAAAACUCACCUCUCAAUUAGCUUUUUCAACAGUGCAGAUAGAUGGGUAAAAGGCACAAAUUGAGGAAUGAUAUGCAUUUGGUUUGCCUGGGUUUUCAGCAUUUUACGUGUGAACCAAACACAUGCUUUCCAAAAACCUAUCUUUAUUUGUCUGGAUUUUUUUCAAAAACCUACCAACCAAACGCUCCCUAGAAUCGCAGCAGUUCCCUAUUUUGUCUUAUGCUGAUUUCUACCAGUUGGCUGGGGUCGUUGCUGUUCAGGUCACCGGUGGGCCUGAAAUUCCUUUCCACCCUGGAAGAAAGGUAUAGUAUAACAAGUUCUUAGUCUCUAUUUAUUUUAUAUUAAGAUUUUUUUUGCAGUUGUAUAUUAUUAUUUUUUCCUAUUGUUUACUUUUUCCUUGACGAGGUGCGUUGACAUAAAUUUACGAUAGUUGAUGUAUGGAAGGAUUAAGGAAUGUGCGAAUGGAAUUGCUCUCUUCACAGUCGUAUAUAAGAACAUUAUGUGUCUUUUUGACUGUUUUUGUAAUGAUGCCGGUACACCAGUAUUGACAAAUCUGCGCCACCUCCUGAGGGUCGCUUGCCUGAUGCAACAAAGGGUGCUGGCCAUUGGAGCACUGAUGGUUUCAAGAUCUCAUCUUAACGGUGGACACUUUUUUUUAGUGUAUAUUUCAUUCAUACUAUUUGUUAUUAUGAUAACGGUGACACUCUUUUCUUAGUGUAUAUUUCAUGAUACUAUUUGUUAUCAUGAUUUAAUUU